GAUUAAGUUAUUAAGGGCGCACGGUGGAUGCCUUGGCACUAGAAGCCGAUGAAGGACGUUACUAACGACGAUAUGCUUUGGGGAGCUGUAAGUAAGCUUUGAUCCAGAGAUUUCCGAAUGGGGAAACCCAACAUGAGUUAUGUCAUGUUAUCGAUAUGUGAAUACAUAGCAUAUCAGAAGGCACACCCGGAGAACUGAAACAUCUUAGUACCCGGAGGAAGAGAAAGAAAAUUCGAUUCCCUUAGUAGCGGCGAGCGAAACGGGAAGAGCCCAAACCAACAAGCUUGCUUGUUGGGGUUGUAGGACACUCUAUACGGAGUUACAAAGGACGACAUUAGACGAAUCAUCUGGAAAGAUGAAUCAAAGAAGGUAAUAAUCCUGUAGUCGAAAAUGUUGUCUCUCUUGAGUGGAUCCUGAGUACGACGGAGCACGUGAAAUUCCGUCGGAAUCUGGGAGGACCAUCUCCUAAGGCUAAAUACUCUCUAGUGACCGAUAGUGAACCAGUACCGUGAGGGAAAGGUGAAAAGCACCCCGGAAGGGGAGUGAAAUAGAACCUGAAACCGUGUGCUUACAAGUAGUCAGAGCCCGUUAAUGGGUGAUGGCGUGCCUUUUGUAGAAUGAACCGGCGAGUUACGAUUUGAUGCAAGGUUAAGCAGUAAAUGUGGAGCCGUAGCGAAAGCGAGUCUGAAUAGGGCGUUUAGUAUUUGGUCGUAGACCCGAAACCAGGUGAUCUACCCUUGGUCAGGUUGAAGUUCAGGUAACACUGAAUGGAGGACCGAACCGACUUACGUUGAAAAGUGAGCGGAUGAACUGAGGGUAGCGGAGAAAUUCCAAUCGAACCUGGAGAUAGCUGGUUCUCUCCGAAAUAGCUUUAGGGCUAGCCUCAAGUGAUGAUUAUUGGAGGUAGAGCACUGUUUGGACGAGGGGCCCCUCUCGGGUUACCGAAUUCAGACAAACUCCGAAUGCCAAUUAAUUUAACUUGGGAGUCAGAACAUGGGUGAUAAGGUCCGUGUUCGAAAGGGAAACAGCCCAGACCACCAGCUAAGGUCCCAAAAUAUAUGUUAAGUGGAAAAGGAUGUGGCGUUGCCCAGACAACUAGGAUGUUGGCUUAGAAGCAGCCAUCAUUUAAAGAGUGCGUAAUAGCUCACUAGUCGAGUGACACUGCGCCGAAAAUGUACCGGGGCUAAACAUAUUACCGAAGCUGUGGAUUGUCCUUUGGACAAUGGUAGGAGAGCGUUCUAAGGGCGUUGAAGCAUGAUCGCAAGGACAUGUGGAGCGCUUAGAAGUGAGAAUGCCGGUGUGAGUAGCGAAAGACGGGUGAGAAUCCCGUCCACCGAUUGACUAAGGUUUCCAGAGGAAGGCUCGUCCGCUCUGGGUUAGUCGGGUCCUAAGCUGAGGCCGACAGGCGUAGGCGAUGGAUAACAGGUUGAUAUUCCUGUACCACCUAUAAUCGUUUUAAUCGAUGGGGGGACGCAGUAGGAUAGGCGAAGCGUGCGAUUGGAUUGCACGUCUAAGCAGUAAGGCUGAGUAUUAGGCAAAUCCGGUACUCAUUAAGGCUGAGCUGUGAUGGGGAGAAGACAUUGUGUCUUCGAGUCGUUGAUUUCACACUGCCGAGAAAAGCCUCUAGAUAGAAAAUAGGUGCCCGUACCGCAAACCGACACAGGUAGUCAAGAUGAGAAUUCUAAGGUGAGCGAGCGAACUCUCGUUAAGGAACUCGGCAAAAUGACCCCGUAACUUCGGGAGAAGGGGUGCUCUUUAGGGUUAACGCCCAGAAGAGCCGCAGUGAAUAGGCCCAAGCGACUGUUUAUCAAAAACACAGGUCUCUGCUAAACCGUAAGGUGAUGUAUAGGGGCUGACGCCUGCCCGGUGCUGGAAGGUUAAGAGGAGUGGUUAGCUUCUGCGAAGCUACGAAUCGAAGCCCCAGUAAACGGCGGCCGUAACUAUAACGGUCCUAAGGUAGCGAAAUUCCUUGUCGGGUAAGUUCCGACCCGCACGAAAGGCGUAACGAUUUGGGCACUGUCUCAACGAGAGACUCGGUGAAAUCAUAGUACCUGUGAAGAUGCAGGUUACCCGCGACAGGACGGAAAGACCCCGUGGAGCUUUACUGUAGCCUGAUAUUGAAAUUCGGCACAGCUUGUACAGGAUAGGUAGGAGCCUUUGAAACGUGAGCGCUAGCUUACGUGGAGGCGCUGGUGGGAUACUACCCUAGCUGUGUUGGCUUUCUAACCCGCACCACUUAUCGUGGUGGGAGACAGUGUCAGGCGGGCAGUUUGACUGGGGCGGUCGCCUCCUAAAAGGUAACGGAGGCGCUCAAAGGUUCCCUCAGAAUGGUUGGAAAUCAUUCAUAGAGUGUAAAGGCAUAAGGGAGCUUGACUGCGAGACCUACAAGUCGAGCAGGGUCGAAAGACGGACUUAGUGAUCCGGUGGUUCCGCAUGGAAGGGCCAUCGCUCAACGGAUAAAAGCUACCCCGGGGAUAACAGGCUUAUCUCCCCCAAGAGUUCACAUCGACGGGGAGGUUUGGCACCUCGAUGUCGGCUCAUCGCAUCCUGGGGCUGUAGUCGGUCCCAAGGGUUGGGCUGUUCGCCCAUUAAAGCGGUACGCGAGCUGGGUUCAGAACGUCGUGAGACAGUUCGGUCCCUAUCCGUCGUGGGCGUAGGAAAUUUGAGAGGAGCUGUCCUUAGUACGAGAGGACCGGGAUGGACAUACCUCUGGUGUACCAGUUGUCGUGCCAACGGCAUAGCUGGGUAGCUAUGUGUGGACGGGAUAAGUGCUGAAAGCAUCUAAGCAUGAAGCCCCCCUCAAGAUGAGAUUUCCCAACUUCGGUUAUAAGAUCCCUCAAAGAUGAUGAGGUUAAUAGGUUCGAGGUG
rnacentral:rRNA from 1 species